rnacentral:rRNA from 1 species
UACGUAGGGGGCAAGCGUUGUCCGGAUUUAUUGGGCGUAAAGAGCGUGUAGGCGGCCAGACAGGUCAGCUGUGAAAACUCGAGGCUCAACCUCGAGACGUCGGUUGAAACCGUCUGGCUAGAGUCCGGAAGAGGAGAGUGGAAUUCCCGGUGUAGCGGUGAAAUGCGCAGAUAUCGGGAAGAACACCCGUGGCGAAGGCGGCAUCCUGGACCAAUUCUGACGCUGAGUGAGCGAAAGCCAGGGGAGCAAAGCGGG